GAUGAACGCUGGCGGCGUGCCUAAUACAUGCAAGUCGAGCGAACAGAUGAGGAGCUUGCUCCUCUGACGUUAGCGGCGGACGGGUGAGUAACACGUGGAUAACCUACCUAUAAGACUGGGAUAACUUCGGGAAACCGGAGCUAAUAUCGGAUAAUAUAUUGAACCGCAUGGUUCAUUAGAGAAAGACGGUUUUGCUGUCACUUAUAGAUGGAUCCGCGCCGCAUUAGCUAGUUGGUAAGGUAACGGCUUACCAAGGCAACGAUGCGUAGCCGACCUGAGAGGGUGAUCGGCCACACUGGAACUGAGACACGGUCCAGACUCCUACGGGAGGCAGCAGUAGGGAAUCUUCCGCAAUGGGCGAAAGCCUGACGGAGCAACGCCGCGUGAGUGAUGAAGGUCUUCGGAUCGUAAAGCUCUGUUAUUUGGGAAGAACAGAUGUGUAAGUAACUAUGCACGUCUUGACGGUACCUAAUCAGAAAGCCACGGCUAACUACGUG
rnacentral:rRNA from 1 species